rnacentral:misc_RNA from 1 species
UUUCCGUAGGUGAACCUGCGGAAGGAUCAUUCAUAAUAAGUGUUUUAUGGCACUUUUUUAAAUCCAUAUCCACCUUGUGUGCAAUGUCAGGGUUGAUUUUUCUCUCGAGAGGAUCGGCCCCAAACAUCAACUAUAUCUCAACUCUUUGUCUGAAAAAUAUUAUGAAUAAAACAAUUCUAAAUACAACUUUCAACAACGGAUCUCUUGGCUCUC